AAGCGCUACCUCCACCACCUCUGCCAUACCCUCGUCCUUGAGGAGGAGCGCUACGGGGCAGAACGGGAAGCCUGCCGCUCCCGGGCAGAAGAGCUGGGCCAGGGCGUCGUCUUGUUCCAAGGGCUUUCCAACAUCACCUUCAACUGCAUGGUCUUGGGCACCCUGUUUAUUGGGGGCUCCCUUGUGGCUGGACAGCAGCUGACAGGGGGAGACCUCAUGUCCUUCCUGGUGGCCUCCCAGACAGUGCAAAAGUCCACGGCCAACCUCUCCAUCCUGUUUGGCCAGGUGCUCCGGGGGCUGAGCUCAGGCUCCCGGGUCUUUGAGUACAUGGCCCUGAGCCCCUGCAUCCCGCUGUCUGGGGGCUGCUGCAUCCCCAAAGAGCACCUGCAUGGCACCGUCACAUUUCACAACAUUUGCUUCAGCUACCCCUGUCACCCCGGCUUCGAGAUGCUGAAAGACUUCACCCUGAUGCUGCCCCCUGGCAAGAUCAUGGCCCUCGUGGGCCAGUCUGGGGGAGGAAAGACCACCAUGGCUUCCCUGCUGGAGCGCUUCUACGACCCCACGGCAAGCGUGGUGAUGCUGGAUGGGCGGGACCUGCACACCUUUGACCCCUCCUGGCUCCGAGGCCAGGUCAUUGACUUCAUUAGCCAGGAGCUGAUCCUGUUUGGGACAACCAUCAUGGAGAACAUCCACUUUGGGAAGCCAGGAGCUUCUGAUGAAGAGGUGUAUGCAGCUGCCCAGGAGGCCAAUGCCCACGAGUUCAUCACCAGCUUCCCUGAGGGCUACAACACGGUUGUCGGUGAGAGGGGCACUACCCUGUCUGGGGGCCAGAAGCAGCACCUGGCCAUCGCCCGAGCCCUCAUCAAGCAGCCCACAGUGCUUAUCCUGGACGAAGCCACCAGUGUGCUGGUUGCGGAGUCUGAACGGGUUGUGCAGCAGGCCCUGGACCGGGUCAGUGCGGGCCGCACGGUGCUGGUCAUUGCUCACCGGCUCAGCAUCGUCAUCAUGGCCAAUGGCUGCGUCUGGGAGGCUGGGAACCAUGAAGAACUCCUGAAGAAGGGUGGGCUGUAUGCCCCAAAGACGGCAGCCCCACCACCCAAGAAGCCAGAAGGCCCCGGAAGCUCCCUGCGCAAGUCUUGAGAAGAGCCCCUGAGGUGUGGUCGCUGCCAAGUGUCGGUGCUAGGGCUGGGGCUCAGCCUGGGGGGAACACACUGGGGACUGAGCCCCCAGGAGGGCCAGCAUGUGGAGAGUUGCUGUGGCCGCUCCUGCUCGCAAUAAAGCCGGGGCGGGCCGAGUGGCUGGCAGGGGAGGCCCAACCCUCCCUUCCAUCUCAAGUCCUGCCGGCCACCUCCCUCCCACCAGAGUCCACCAGAGUCACUGGGCUGCACACGGGCAGAGGCAGAGUUCCACAAGGUGCCUCCACUCUUCUCUCCCUUUGCCCAGACCCCUCCAGACCUCUCAGAGACGCUCUGCACAGUGUCCCCACCCCACCCAACAGCCUCAAGUUGGCCAGGCCUGCAGCACCAGGGAGUUUUUAAAAAACAGGGUCUGCCAUGGGCUGGGAACUCAAACCUAGGCUCUUCCCACACCCUUGCCAGGACCUUACUUCCCUAGACUGACUGCCUCGCUGGACCCUGGGAGAAGGAGCCUAUCCCCUGGCUCACCCCAGAACACACAAUCCCUGUCUUCCAAACAGUUUCCCUCCCUUCUCCCUGAAUGGGGAACACAGUCCUGAUGUCUAGAUUUCAACUCCCUUUCCCACCCCUGAAGGACACAGGCCUAACCGGGCCCAACUCUUGGGUCAGGGUAGGAGGGAAGAAGCACCAGUCUGCCUGACUGUCUUCUGCUGGCCCUGCCCUGUGUGCCUGGAGUCUUUGACCCACUGAGAUGGUGGAUCCACCUCCUUCUACAUCAAGGACACCCAGCUCUGAUGGAGACAGGAAGGGCUGAUGCCAACCUGGAGCUCUCAGCUUCCUGCCCACAGUGCUGAUGAGUACAGAGCUCAAUGGAGCACCUACUGCAGAAUCCAGUACAGAAUCAGUCCAGGAGAGUAUGGCUGUGGACAGGCAGUCUCCACAGCAAGGUCUGGGAGGCGCACCUUAAAAGGGGAAGGCAGACAGCCUGAGUGACAGGCGUCUGUGGCCCUGAAACUGUGGAUGAGGGCUAGGCUCCAGCUGGCUUCGGAGGGGCCUGGAAAGGCACACAAGUAGGGCCUUAGCUGAGCUGGUGCCCCAGGACCUCAUGCUCCUGCCCUGCUGCAGAUGCACCGGCCCUCCCCACCUCCUCACUGCCGUCACUUCCUGCUGGGAUCCUUCCCCGGUCCAGACACAUCAAGGCUGUGGGACUAUAUGGGGCCCAGCUCCCCUGAGCAGGGGAAGAGGGGGUGCCUGCCCUGUACCUUCACAGUCAGCCAGGCAUUCUGGAUUUAUCUGUGCAAAGAAGGGCAGUCAGUGCCCUCUUUCAGGGGUGGUGGCAGUUCACUGAUGGAGCAGCUGGUGCUGGGGAGGCCAGCCUGGAAGAGGCAGCAAGUGGCUCAAGUUUGUGUGCAGGAGCCAGAGUGGGACCCACAGGCUCUUGUGGGUAUGGUUUAGAACUAGAUGCUACUCUGGGGACAAGCCAUCCAAAAACCCCAGGCCCACAUCCACCCUGAUUUGAUAUCCCACUUCCUGACAGAUCAGAGGCUAGAGGCCCAGAAGCAGAGCCUGGGGCUGGCUCCCGGCUGCCUCGCAGCUAAACCCCUCCCUAGGGCAGCCCAGAGCAGGCCUCAGCUUCCUGGCGAGUCCAUGAGCCCUGCCUGGGGUCCCUGCUUGUUGGCCUGACCCCUCCCUCACCAGGAAGCCAGCCAGCCAAGGCCUGCUUCACCUCCUCAGUCACCAGCCUCAAGCUGCCCAAGACGCCUCUGACACCAGAUUCUAAGGCUCUCCUUACAUCUGGGCAACUUCUCCAAAUCCAGCCCUCCACCAGCCCACUAAAGGAGCAGUUAAGCCCCACGGC